rnacentral:rRNA from 1 species
UGCAAGUCAACGGGUAGCAAUACCAGUGGCGAACGGGUGAGUAAUACAUGGAUAACCUACCUAGAAGUUGGGGAUAACACAGAGAAAUUUGUGCUAAUACCGAAUGUGACGGUUCCUGAUAGCAGGGAUUGGUUAAAGCAGCAAUGCGCUUUUAGAUGGGUCCAUGGCUGAUUAGCUAGUUGGUGGGGUAAAGGCUCACCAAGGCGACGAUCAGUAGCCGGCCUGAGAGGGUGAACGGCCACAAUGGAACUGAGACACGGUCCAUACUCCUACGGGAGGCAGCAGUUAAGAAUCUUGCUCAAUGGGCGAAAGCCUGAAGCAGCGACGCCGCGUGAACGAUGAAGGUCUUCGGAUUGUAAAGUUCAGUAAGUAGGGACGAAAAAAAUGACGGUACCUACCUAAAGCACCGGCUAACUACGUGCCAGCAGCCGCGGUAAUACGUAUGGUGCAAGCGUUAAUCGGAAUUACUGGGCGUAAAGCGUGCGCAGGCGGUUAUAUAAGACAGAUGUGAAAUCCCCGGGCUCAACCUGGGAACUGCAUUAGUGACUGUAUAGCUAGAGUGCGGCAGAGGGGGAUGGAAUUCCGCGUGUAGCAGUGAAAUGCGUAGAUAUGCGGAGGAACACCGAUGGCGAAGGCAAUCCCCUGGGCCUGCACUGACGCUCAUGCACGAAAGCGUGGGGAGCAAACAGGAUUAGAUACCC